GCGGACGGGUGAGUAACGCGUAGGGAUCUUUCCUCUAGCGGGGGACAACUCGGGGAAACUCGGGCUAAUACCGCAUAAUCUCGAAAGAGCAAAGCUUGGGACCUUCGGGCCAAGCACUAGAGGGUGAGCCUGCGUCGGAUUAGCUUGUUGGUGGGGUAAUGGCCUACCAAGGCAAUGAUCUGUAGCUGGUCUGAGAGGAUGACCAGCCACACUGGGACUGAGACACG
rnacentral:rRNA from 13 species